rnacentral:rRNA from 1 species
GAUGAACGCUGGCGAGAUGCUUUACACAUGCAAGUCAUACGAGAGUUUUUAACUCAAGUGGCGGACGGGUGAGUAACACGUAAGAAUUUGCCUUUAGGAGGGGGAUAACAACUGGAAACGGUUGCUAAUACCCCAUAUGCUUUCGAGUGAAAUGGAUUUAUCCGCCUAGAGAGAAGCUUGCGGCUGAUUAGCUUGUUGGUAAGGUAAUGGCUUACCAAGGCGACGAUCAGUAUCUGGUUUGAGAGGACGAUCAGACACACUGGAACUGAGACACGGUCCAGACUCCUACGGGAGGCAGCAGUGGGGAAUUUUCCGCAAUGGGCGAAAGCCUGACGGAGCAAUCUCGCGUGAGGGAUGACCGCCUAUGGGUUGUAAACCUCUUUUUUCAGGGAGGAAUAAAAUGA